AUGGAGCCAGGAACACAAGCAUUGUUAGAUAUUACUGCCCUGUUGGAGCUAGAAACACAAGCAUUGUUAGAUAUUACUGCCCUGUUGGAGCUAGAAACACAAGCAUUGUUAGAUAUUACUGCACUGUUGGAGCUAGAAACACAAGCAUUGUUAGAUAUUACUGCCCUGUUGGAGCUAGAAACACAAGCAUUGUUAGAUAUUACUGCCCUGUUGGAGCUAGAAACACAAGCAUUGUUAGAUAUUACUGCCCUGUUGGAGCCAGGAACACAAUCAUUGUUAGAUAUUACUGCCCUGUUGGAGCUAGAAACACAAGCAUUGUUAGAUAUUACUGCCCUGUUGGAGCCAGGAACACAAGCAUUGUUAGAUAUUACUGCCCUGUUGGAGCUAGAAACACAAGCAUUGUUAGAUAUUACUGCCCUGUUGGAGCCAGGAACACAAUCAUUGUUAGAUAUUACUGCCCUGUUGGAGCUAGAAACACAAGCAUUGUUAGAUAUUACUGCCCUCUGUGAGCCAGGAACACAAGCAUUGUUAGAUAUUACUGCCCUGUUGGAGCUAGAAACACAAGCAUUGUUAGAUAUUACUGCCCUCUGUGAGCCAGGAACACAAGCAUUGUUAGAUAUUACUGCCCUGUUGGAGCCAGAAACACAAGCAUUGUUAGAUAUUACUGCCCUGUUGGAGCGAGAAACACAAGCAUUGUUAGAUAUUACUGCCCUGUUGGAGCUAGAAACACAAGCAUUGUUAGAUAUUACUGCCAUGUUGGAGCGAGAAACACAAGCAUUGUUAGAUAUUACUGCCCUGUUGGAGCUAGAAACACAAGCAUUGUUAGAUAUUACUGCCCUGUUGGAGCCAGGAACACAAGCAUGGUUAGAUAUUACUGCCAUGUUGGAGCUAGAAACACAAGCAUUGUUAGAUAUUACUGCCCUGUUGGAGCCAGGAACACAAGCAUUGUUAGAUAUUACUGCCCUCUGUGAGUCAGGAACACAAGCAUUGUUAGAUAUUACUGCACUGUUGGAGCCAGAAACACAAGCAUUGUUAGAUAUUACUGCCCUGUUGGAGCCAGAAACACAAGCAUUGUUAGAUAUUACUGCCCUGUUGGAGCCAGAAACACAAGCAUUGUUAGAUAUUACUGCACUGUUGGAGCUAGAAACACAAGCAUUGUUAGAUAUUACUGCCCUGUUGGAGCUAGAAACACAAGCAUUGUUAGAUAUUACUGCCCUGUUGGAGCUAGAAACACAAGCAUUGUUAGAUAUUACUGCCCUGUUGGAGCUAGAAACACAAGCAUUGUUAGAUAUUACUGCCCUGUUGGAGCAGGAAACACAAGCAUUGUUAGAUAUUACUGCCCUGUUGGAGCCAGGAACACAAGCAUGGUUAGAUAUUACUGCCCUGUUGGAGCCAGGAACACAAGCAUUGUUAGAUAUUACUGCCCUGUUGGAGCUAGAAACACAAGCAUUGUUAGAUAUUACUGCCCUGUUGGAGCCAGGAACACAAGCAUUGUUAGAUAUUACUGCCCUGUUGGAGCCAGGAACACAAGCAUUUCACUACAACCGCGAUAACAUCUGA
ensembl:lncRNA